rnacentral:rRNA from 1 species
UACGUAGGGGGCAAGCGUUGUCCGGAUUUAUUGGGCGUAAAGAGCGUGUAGGCGGUUUGGUAGGUCCGCUGUGAAAACUCGAGGCUCAACCUCGAGACGCCGGUGGAAACCAUCAGGCUAGAGUCCGGAAGAGGAGAGUGGAAUUCCUGGUGUAGCAGUGAAAUGCGUAGAUAUCAGGAGGAACACCGAUGGCGAAGGCAGGUCUCUGGGCUGACACUGACGCUCGAUGCACGAAAGCGUGGGGAGCGAACAGG